UGAACUAGACACGGGAGUCCCGGGAGCGGGGCUGAGAGUGGGCACAGCCAGUGCGCGACUGGACCGGCCCUGACCGUCACACCUGAUCCGGAUCAUGCCGGCGAAGGGAGACAAAGGAUGGCGUCC
rnacentral:ncRNA from 1 species